rnacentral:tRNA from 1 species
UACUUGUUGGUGUAAAGGGCACAUAAAGUUUUGAUCUUUAAAGAAAUAGUGCGAAUCUGUUAUAAGUAA